UCAGAACAAUCAAUUUCCCUUAAGAGAGAGUGGGAGCAGGGCUGGAGUGGAUGGCACAGGACCUGGAUACUCGCAUUUUGUAACGCCGAACAGGACCGGGCAUUGGGGAUAAACCUGUGGAGAGUUUGAGAGCUGGAAUACAACCAACUUGGGGUUUUGACAUUUCACAAACGUGAGAGGAGAGCAGCUGUGAGAAAGCAGCAGACACACAGGCCAGUCCUGAUGGCAGGCGCUUGGGGGUCAGCCUGCACUGGACUCCGGCUCUAGCAGCCCACUGGGCCCUCACUUCAACUCUAAACAUUUCACAGGUCAGUGAGCAGAGAUAUACUCCAUGCACUCACACACUAUCUGAAAUUCAUUUUUUAACAAAAAAAAAAAUUAGUAAUGUUAUUCAGCAACAAUGCUUUAAAUUGAUCAAAAGUGGCAGUAUGGACUUUUCAUCACCUCGUCUCAAUUUGUAACUAUUUUAUGUUUUGGUAAAUUGGUGGGUAAUUCGUAUGAGUUCAUUAAAUCUCUUUCAUAUGUUUCUAUACGAUCUGCUUACGCCCCACUGAUGGUCAUGUUUUUAGGGUUGGGGUUAGGGGUCAACCUUCAUUACAAAAAGUACAUUUACACAGCAAAGAUGUACUAAAGACUAAAGACUUUUCCUUCACACUUUUUAAAAUGUUCUGCAUACAGACAACAAUGUUGUCAAAGUGAUUGUAAUUUUCAACAAUCCGUGAAAUUGACUAAAAUUGCUGUAUUAUGCAUGCCAGGCCAGUAGUUGGCGAUGUCACACUACGAAUCUGGGCACACUUAACAUGCAUGUGCAUGACAUUACCGUUUUCACAAAUUUGCAUUUUUGUAGCAUGCAGUUGAUGAUGGUAUAAUUUUCAAAAACUUCCACUUUGAAACCCAUUUUCGAAAGCUUGAAACACCCCUUUAUAAAUUAUGUUUUUCAUGUGUUUUCGUGUGAUUACAAAUUCAUACAAGAUUGACUUUGUAAAAUAGUUACAUUUCCCAUGAAACUGGGUUGGACACCUACAUUCUUACAGAAAUUUCUGUUUGAAAUAUACUAGAUGAAAUAUUCUGUUUCUAUUAAUCAAAUAAUCCUGAAAUUCAGUGUAUCAUUGUUUUCAACAGAAAAUGUUAUAGUAGAAUGAUUUCUGAAGGAUCAUGUGACACUGAAGACUGGAGUAAUGACGCUGAAAAUUCAGCUUUGAUCACAGAAAUAAAUUACAUUAAAAUAUAUUCA
ensembl:lncRNA